rnacentral:snoRNA from 1 species
AGUAAGAUGGACUUUUUCUUCCAAAAGACUGCCACAGUAAUACUGUGACUCAUGGACCCUUAUCCCUUCUUCUGGGCCUCAGGGAUGAAUUUGGUUACAAAAAAAA